rnacentral:rRNA from 1 species
ACGGGAGGCAGCAGUGGGGAAUAUUGCACAAUGGGGGAAACCCUGAUGCAGCGAUGCCGCGUGAAGGAAGAAGUUCUUCGGAAUGUAAACUUCUAUCAGCAAGGAAGAAAACGGACAGUACUUGACUAAGAAGCCCCGGCUAACUACGUGCCAGCAGCCGCGGUAAUACGUAGGGAGCAAGCAUUAUCCGGAAUUACUGGGUGUAAAGGGAGUGUAGGCGGGACUGUAAGUCAGAUGUGAAAUAUGCCGGCUCAACUGGCAGACUGCAUUUGAAACUGCGGUUCUUGAGUGAAGUAGAGGUAAGCGGAACUCCUAGUGUAGCGGUGAAAUGCGUAGAUAUUAGGAGGAACAUCAGUGGCGAAGGCGGCUUACUGGGCUUUAACUGACGCUGAGGCUCGAAAGCGUGGGGAGCAAACAGGAUUAGAUACCCUGGUA